GGUGUAGCGCAGUUGGCUAGCGCGCAUGAUUUGGGAUCAUGAGGCCGAGGGUUCGAGUCCCCCCACC
rnacentral:tRNA from 1 species